rnacentral:misc_RNA from 1 species
UUCAGACCAAGGACUUUGGCAAUUAAAUCAACACGAGAAGCAUAGUCUCUGUCAAUAAAAGUGAGCUGAUUGCUUGACUCCAACCACUCAGAGAGCUGCAGUGCCUUCCCGUACAUGCGCCUUUUACGAAAAUUAAGCAUCGCUGAUGCUACUUCUACCCGUGUGACGUUAUUUCCUUCAACCCAUUUAUCCAUGAUUUUACUAACACGUAAAGCUGGUGCUGCCAUG